GCAUUGGUGGUGCAGUGGUAGGAUGCUCACCUUCCAUGUGGGAGACCGGGUUCGAUUCCCUGUCAAUGUA
rnacentral:tRNA from 1 species